GCGCUACAUUCAGCAGCAUAUAUAGUAAAAUUGGAGUGAUACAGAGAAGAUUAGCGUGGCCCUGUGCAAGAAUGACACAUUUGUGAAGCAUUCCAUAUCUUU
ensembl:snRNA U6 U6 spliceosomal RNA